UCAACUUUAUUUGUUUAGCACCUUUUACACAGAUGACAAAACUAAACAAGCAAAGAGAAAAAAACUGUUAAAACUAUGAUUAAAACUCAAAUACAUUUAAAAAAAAAAAAGCUUUAACAUGGUAAUAAAAUAUGUUGUGUUCAGGGGAUGGAGGGAGUUUAUUGAAGUCUUCUUGGGCUCACAUGGUAAAUCAUUUAAAAUAUAAACUUGAUAUUCAGUCUAAGGAAACUGCAGAGCGACAGAAGAACCAACAAUAUCUCCUGUUUUCUCCUUUAAUGAGUCGACUCUUCUUGUGCUUUCAGACCAAAGAACUACAGACUCUUAACAAGCUGCUCAAACUCUUGGUACAGGACCUCACCACACGGGUCAAGAAGGUUGCUUUGUAGAACUGUUCCAGAAAACCUCAGUAAACCACAUGGAGGGGCCUCAAGAUAGUCGUCCAAAUGAAACCAUACAAAAACCAAAC
ensembl:lncRNA